AAAAAGUCAAAUCUGAGUUUCCGUGUCCAACUUUGAUUGUCCGUUUUAUAUAAAAUUUUUUUAUAAUUCGUAUUUUCAUUAUUGUUAGAUAAUAAAACAUGAUUAAUAUUUUAUGCGUGACUUGUCUUUUUAAUUUUUUUUUAAUUUUUUUAAAUAAGACGGAUGGUAAAACGUUGGACACGGAAACCAGGGUUUGUCUUUUU
rnacentral:pre_miRNA from 1 species